UACGGAGGGUGCAAGCGUUGUCCGGAUUUAUUGGGUUUAAAGGGUGCGUAGGCGGUUCUUUAAGUCAGUGGUGAAAGCCUCCAGCUUAACUGGAGGAAUGCCAUUGAUACUGGGGAACUUGAGUACAGACGAGGUAGGCGGAAUUGACAGUGUAGCGGUGAAAUGCAUAGAUAUUGUCAAGAACACCGAUUGCGAAGGCAGCUUACUAGACUGUAACUGACGCUGAGGCACGAAAGUGUGGGGAUCAAACAGG
rnacentral:rRNA from 1 species